UUUCACUUCCGGGACGUUCAACCAUUUUACGCAGGAAAAUUCAUAACAAGCCAUUCGUCAUAGUAUAACAGAAAGGAGAGAAACCAUGUAUUAAUUCUAUUCAACUAGUUACGUUAAUUUAUGAGUUAUGUCAUCAGAUUCAGAGUCAGAAUGUCAAGAAGAACAGCUGUCAUUGGCAGAACUGCCAAAUGGAAAGUUCCGGAAUUAAAGGAUUGGUUGGAAAAGUGAAAUUUAAAGAAAUCAGGUCUAAAGGAUACAUUAGUCAAACGUGUAUAUAGGGCAAUGUCAAAUGAGGACUCAGACUUUUCAGAAGAAGAAAGUUUUCCAGUUAUUCCAAUUGAUUUAGUUUCAAAUCCAUGGAAACCACUAGACUUUACUGAUAUUCCAGAAAUAUCCAUUAAAGAUGUUGACAGCUAUUUGAUGUACCACAAAAAUCCCACAACUGGGGAGAGUACCAAUUUUGAAAGGCAAAUGAAAAAGGCAAAAAGAUUGUGCAACGAAGGAUUCAUAAGAGACAUUGAAUAUAAUCCUAUUAAUCAAGGAAUACAUACUUGGAAAAUAGACCAAAACACAAAAACUAAACAUUGACCAAUGAACCAUGAAAAUAAGGUCAAGGUCAAAUGAAACCUGCCAGACUGACAUGUACCCCUUGCAAUCAUUCUAUACACCACAUAUAUAUUUAUAUAUUUAUAUAUUAUUAACUCAAUUUAUAUUUCAUGUUUGAGUUGUUUUUCUUGUGUAUUGUCUAUAUUGCAAUUGUUUAAUAUAAAAAAAACACUGUACUGAUUAUGCCCAUAAUAGGUCCUCUAUUGGAAAUAAAAUUUAUCUUAUCUUA